rnacentral:tRNA from 1 species
ACUUAAAUAGUUUAAAUAAAACGUUCGCUUGUGGCGCUUAAGAUGUAUUUUUAUACUUUAAGUA